GGGUCAGUAGGUUGGUCGUGCCACCGGUACGUACUGGUCUCACUGAUUCCUCCUUCCUGAAGAACCGUAAUGCCAUUAAUUUGGUGUUGCAGGGAAACAGGACUGUUACUUUGAAAAAAUUAGAGUGUUUAAAGCAAGCUGACGCUUGAAUACAUUAGCAUGGAAUAAUGAAAUAGGACGAUCGAUCCUAUUUUGUUGGUUUCUAGGAUUGACGUA
rnacentral:rRNA from 1 species